rnacentral:rRNA from 1 species
AGUGAACGCUGGCGGUAGGCCUAACACAUGCAAGUCGAACGGCAGCACAGUAAGAGCUUGCUCUUACGGGUGGCGAGUGGCGGACGGGUGAGGAAUACAUCGGAAUCUACUUUUUCGUGGGGGAUAACGUAGGGAAACUUACGCUAAUACCGCAUACGACCUACGGGUGAAAGCAGGGGAUCUUCGGACCUUGCGCGAUUGGAUGAGCCGAUGUCGGAUUGGCUAGUUGGCGGGGUAAAGGCCCACCAAGGGGACGAUCCGUAGCUGGUGUGAGAGGAUGAUCGGCCACACUGGAGCUGAGACACGGUCCAGACGCCUACGGGAGGCAGCAGUGGGGAAUAGUGGACAAUGGGCGCAAGCCUGAUCCAGCCGUACCGCGUGGGUGAAGAAGGCCUUCGGGUUGUAAAGCCCUUUUGUUGGGAAAGAAAAGCAGCAGGUUAAGACCCCGCUGUUCUGACGGUACCCAAAGAAUAAGCACCGGCUAACUUCGUG